GAUCCGUAUCUGACACAGCUUGGAGAAAAUAAUUCCUCCCUAGUGAUGGAAAGCACGGCCCUGUUGUAGCUGGUGAUUGGAUUGCAUCAACAGUGGCUCAGAUUGGGUGAGGUUGAUGCCGAUUGAUUAAUGCUGUAAAUGCCAUGCCACAGUAAUUAUUUCCCUCUGCUGGUCGGAAAAAGCGUUGGGUUUGUCAAGCACUGUGAGAGUUCAGGCUGUUGUGCGAUCAUCAAAGAGCUUUUAAGAGCAAGGUCGAGUUCGUCUAGGUCAUUUUCGCAGGUUCCAGCUUGAGGUCUUUCCAAGAGAGCACUCGUUUGCGAGAUCAAAGAGUCCAUGUUCAUCUUAUCUGAGUUGUGGAAGCGAGUGUACUGGUGGACUUGUAGGAACGGGGAGGAAUCUCCAUUGAGGAGUGGGAAGUCACUGUAACGUGAGGAGAAACUCUAGAGAGAGAGUGGGAUAGAAAAAUUGGUAUGUUUAAGCAAUCAUAACAAGGAGGGAUUGUAGCUGUGGACAGUAGUCUCCUUUUAAAGAAAGACACUAGAAUUCCAUGUAGUGUCUUUGUUGCAUUAAAUUCUUGUUUUCUAUAGACUUUCUUUUCACCUGCCAUAUUUUGUCCUAUGAUUCUUGGCUGUUCUCAA